GUGCAGGUGAUCCCGGGGAGCCCGGGGGCCGCGCCGGGGGUGCCAGGGUCCAGCACACUGGAGUGGCGGCGCCUCCCCGUGGUGUCCCCGCGCCUGGGUCCUUUUUGGGACUGGCUCUGGCACUCACGGGCACUCAGUCCAGUAGAGAAAUCCAGCAGGAGGCUUCCAGGUCGGACUCCUCCGAGGAGUAAGGAGAGGGAAGGGGCCUCACAAACACACCCAGAUGGACGUGCGCCGGGUGGACGUGAAGUGCAGAGGAGGACCAGUGCCCCUUCCCACGCGCUGCUGUCCUGCAUGUGGUCUAAUUCCCAUCUUACCUCUAGGAGCAUCUGGUGACAGAGGAUGAGAAAAUAGAGUGACGAUGCGGAGUCAGGGGUCUAAUCUCCCUGCAAGCCACCCGAUCUCCCUGGGCCUCUGUUUUCUCAUCUGUGAAAUGACAGGUUGGACGGCUUAGUCUCUGAGGCCUCAUCCAGUUCCAUGGUAAGUCUGAUAAUCGUGAGUGUGCCUUUAAAUAGCCAGCCCAGGUAAUAACCUGACAGCUUCCUCAUUUUUUUAUGCUACAUUUUUAGGACUGUGUGUUAGCACAAACUAUUUGCUGGCAAUUACAAGGGAAAAACUUCUAUUCUCAGAAUGAAAAUGGGAAGCUGUAAAUUAAUUUAAGUCCUUCUGCCAUCAGCGGAAGCCACUCCUCCUCGCCUUGACAAGGAACCUGUGCUCUCCUGGUGACAGUCAGCCCAUUCGCGGCUAUCUCAGCUGCUAAGUCCUCCUCCCCUGGUGCCUCCUUGGUCUAUCCUACUCUCACAGUCACCCUAGGAAUCCCAGAGUGACAGCAGAAAAGACACACACCGAGAGAAGACACAAUCUAAUGGCUACUCCAUUUACUUGCUGUGUGACUUCAGGCAGGUCUCCUAGCCUCUCUGGGCAUGAGUUUCCUCUUCUAUAAUUCAUUCAUUCAGUGAAUAUUUACCAACAGCCUGCUAUGUGCCAGCAAUGAAUAAAAGAGAUGAC
rnacentral:lncRNA from 1 species